AUCGCUUCUCGGCCUUUUGGCUAAGAUCAAGUGUAGAAAUAGAUUGUUUCCAUACUGUUGGCUUCUAAGUAUUUUAUUUUUUUAAAAGAUUUACAUUUGUUAGAGAUAAAGAUUGUUUUAUAUAAGUACACUGUCACUGUCUUCAGACACACCAGAA
rnacentral:snRNA from 1 species